GAGUUUGAUCUUGGCUCAGGAUGAACGCUGGCGGCGUGCCUAAUACAUGCAAGUCGUACGAACAGCGGAAAGUGCUUGCACUUUCCAAGUAAGUGGCGAACGGGUGAGUAACACGUGAAUAACCUACCUCAAAGUCUGGGAUAACCAUUGGAAACAGUGACUAAUACCGGAUAAAACCUAGUAGCACAUGCUACAAGGUUAAAAGCUGCGUUUGCAGCGCUUUAAGAUGGA
rnacentral:rRNA from 1 species